AUUUUAAAAAUUAAAAACACUCCCAUGUGGAAUUUUUCACGGGUUAUCCUGUCUGCUCAUUCUAUCUUGUCUUCUCCUUUCGGUUCUCUUCUUUGCUUCUCAUGUCAUUGGGUUCUUCUUUCUUCUCCUUCCCCGUUAUCUCCUUUCCUUCUCAUUAUCUCUGGGUUCUUCUCGUUCACGUUUGCCACUAUGCUAUCGCUUAGACCCGAAACCCUACCCUUGUCAGUGCGCUNGCUAGGGUUUCAUUUCACCUUCUCCGAACAAUGUCGCUCCCGCAUGCUCAAUUGAAACCAAUUGCAUCACUCAGAAAUUCGGUGGAGCCAAUUCCCUAGAAGAUGAUAUGACAUCGUGCUCGCGGACCAAGCCUCUUCUUCUGCCCUUUCCGAUGCUUCUCCACUACCACGCCGUCGUCGUUCUCUUCGAUGUUUUCAAAAUCCAAAACAACUUUCGCGAGCACGAAGCCUCUGAUGACUCACUCGGAUACCCUAAAAUGUAACACUCACGUGCCUGCUCUCAAUUUUAAGGUUUGCUUGGUAAUCUGUUUAAUUUUGGCACUAAUCGCUUUUAUUGUCGAGCUAGAAAGAAUAACUUUGUGUAUAAAAUGGUGAACCAAUCAGACAUCUUNAUUAGAGGGAAAAUUUUAUAUAAUCGUUUAUAGAAAUUGGGGCUUGACAUUGACCCUGAUAAUCUACGUUGUAAAGGUCUGCACGAAUGUCUAUAGGUUAUCAAGUUGGAGCUUCAACUCUAAUUUUGAUUAGAGAAUAAUACUGUAAGGGUGUCUUUUAUUUCCAUUCUAUGAAACUGCUUUUGUGUGUAACUUAACUAGGUUGCUUCUAAUUGUAAUUACAAUAGUGAUAUUAUUAGUAGGUAAGUUGUUUAUAUGCUCCGCUUCUUGAGUGUUUUGUAUUUUUAUUAUUAUUUAUUAUCAUUUGUCCAGUCUAUAAUUGCAACUUUUGUAUAUUAGUUUUGAAUUUUACUUUACCCUGAAGCUUGUUUGGUCUAAUGUGUCAAAAAGCUUUUUUUCUUUUUUUUGGAACAAAAUGCAGAAGCUUGUACUUUUAAUCUUAAUGUUUAUAAUUUUACUGCGAUUUCUGAAUUACGCAACAAAGGUUGGAAGGAAAUAGUUUUUUGUGACAUUUUUCCUUUUAUGUCUGCAUCUAGAAGGACAUUUCUUCUUUUUAUAGGAUUUUCAUAGCACUAAUGUUGCAGAAGUCAUUGAAUGGAAAAUAAUCUUAAUAGUAGCACAAAGGAAAAAAAAAUGAAGUCUAGGGGUGCCUUGGUACGGCCUGAAUCGUUCUGGGAAAUCUUUUCAGUGUGAUAGACUAGUUUGGAGGGACAAAGGAUCUCUGCCGAAUUAUGGAGAUUUCCUAACAGAACUACAAAUGUUGGGCAAAUGAUAUAUGCUUAUCUUAGUAACACAUCUUAGUUGGAUGGGAAAAAAGGUCGUACAUCCAUCAAGAUAUACUACUAUGUGCAUGUACAAAAACGUUCAAAUAGGCUUCAUGAUGAACUUUCCUUCAAGAUAGGUGUUUUCUGAUUUAGAACAUUCAGUAAGUAGAAUGGUCCACCGACAGGUUGCCAUAAUUGCUUGGUUGGAAGCUGAUUUUGUUUGUGGCAGCCACUUGUCGCUUGCCUUAUCUUUUCUGCGUAAACCAAUGCCUCUUAUAACAGAGUUGAAAAAUGUAAUUCAAGAGAUGAAGUCACUCAAACUGGAAAAGCUUAAGAAGCCCGUGACUUAGUGAGAAUUCUUAUUUUUUAAUCAGUGUCCAAAUUAUUCAACGACAAUGAUUGUGGAUAUUACUUGUGUCGAUAUAUGAUGAAAAUUAUCACAUACUGUGAAGGAGGGACAAUUCCAAUUAAUUCCUUUUCUAGUUGCAGAUGUCAAUCAUUUCGUGACAAUCAAAUCAUUAAAGUUAGAGAAUAUUGGUGUUUAUAUGUAAUUAAUACAUCUUAUAUGUUAUGUUAUGAUGAUAUACAUGCCUAUAAGUACAAAUAGGAUAUACAUGCUAUGAUUGUAUAUAUUGUUUUAUGAAGUAAUAUGAUGUCAUGACAUGUACUAGAUGACUCGACAAUAUAUUUUAUAAUAUUAUUGUACCAAUAGUUUUUAUUCA